UAAAAGUUUUAUUUUAGCUUUAAAUUUUAUUAUUAAAUUAUUUUACAUGCAAAUCUUUGUGGGAAUAGUUGCUUAUUUAAAAAGUUUUCAGCUUAAUUUUAUUCGCAGUAAUUAGUAUUAUUGAUUAAGGAAACUUAGAAAUAGAAAUUUUAAUUAGUAUUGGCUAAAUUUGUGCCAGCAGCCGCGGUUAUACAAAUAAUGCAAGUAAAUUUCAUUGGUUUUAGUUAAAUAUAUAUAUAUAAAUAAAUUGUAAUAGAAUUAUUAAGUGAAAUUUUAAUUCUAUAAAAGAAUUGUUAUAAGAUAUAAAUCUAAAAAAUUUUUAAUAUAAACUAGGAUUAGAUACCCUAUUAUAAAAAACGUAACAGAAUAACCAGAGUAGUAUUAGCUAUGUUCUUGAAACUUAAAAAAUUUGGCGGUAUUUUAGUCUAUUCAGAGGAACCUGUUCUGUAAUCGAUAAUCCACGAUGGACCUUUCUUUUUCUUGCAUUCAGUUUAUAUACCGUCGUUAUAAGAAUAUUUUAAAAGAAAAAUAAUUUUCAAAAAUUAAUAUUAUAUUUUAUAUCAGAUCAAGGUGUAGCUUAUGAAAAAGUAGAAAUGGGUUACAUUAAAUAUAUUUAAAUGGAAUACUAUAUGAAAAAUAAUAUGAAAGUGGAUUUGAUAGUAAAAUUAUAUAGAUAAUUAAUUUGACUAUAGCUCUAAAAUAUGCACACAUCGCCCGUCGCUCUUAUUCCUAAGGUAAGAUAAGUCGUAACAUAGUAGAUGUACCGGAAGGUGUAUCUAGAAUGUC
rnacentral:ncRNA from 1 species